rnacentral:rRNA from 1 species
GUACACGCUGUGACUAGCAUAUCAAUAAGCGGAGGAAAAGAAACUAACAAGGAUUCCCCUAGUAACGGCGAGUGAAGCGGGAAGAGCUCAAAUUUGAAAUCUUAAAGGGUUUCCCUUUACGAAUUGUAGUUUAAAGAAGUGUUUUCUGUUGAGGUUUUGGUAAAAGUUCUUUGGAAUAGGACAUCAUAGAGGGUGAGAAUCCCGUAUUUGACCUUUACUUUCAACCUUGUGAUACACUUUCAAAGAGUCGGAUUGUUUGGGAAUGCAGUCCAAAAUGGGUGGUAAAUUUCAUCUAAAGCUAAAUAUUGGCGAGAGACCGAUAGCGAACAAGUACCGUGAGGGAAAGAUGAAAAGAACUUUGAAAAGAGAGUUAAACAGUACGUGAAAUUGUCAAAAGGGAAGCGUUUGACACCAGUGUUGUUUUUCUGAAAAUCAAUUAAAGAACUGUUUAUGCUAAGUUGUUUAGACUUUAUCAGCUAACUGUUUAGUUUUGAGCUUUUCUUUAAUGCACUUUUCAGUUAACAAGUCAACAUCAAUUUCUUUUGCUGUAAAAAAGCUUGAGGAAGGUGGCUUGAGAUUCGUCUUAAGUGUUUAUAGCCUCUUGCCUAUGCAGUCGGAGAGAUUGAGGUCUGCAGCGUAGAUCCUUCGGGGCUAAAUGCAUUUGUGCUAAGUUAUAGCAUUUUAUAGACAACUUGUUGACUAUGAUUUGUCUUGUAGCUUACUCGCUUAUGUUAUUUUACCUACGCUUAGGAUGUUGAGUCGUAGAGCACGCAG